AUUGAACGCUGGCGGCAUGCCUUACACAUGCAAGCCGAACGGCAGCACGGGAGCAAUCCUGGUGGCGAGUGGCGGACGGGUGAGUAAUAUAUCGGAACGUGCCCAGUCGUGGGGGAUAACGCAGCGAAAGCUGUGCUAAUACCGCAUACGAUCUCUGGAUGAAAGCGGGGGACCGUAAGGCCUCGCGCGAUUGGAGCGGCCGAUAUCAGAUUAGCUAGUUGGUGGGGUAAAGGCCCACCAAGGCGACGAUCUGUAGCUGGUCUGAGAGGACGACCAGCCACACUGGAACUGAGACACGGUCCAGACUCCUACGGGAGGCAGCAGUGGGGAAUUUUGGACAAUGGGCGCAAGCCUGAUCCAGCAAUGCCGCGUGCAAGAUGAAGGCCUUCGGGUUGUAAACUGCUUUUGUACGGAACGAAACGGCGAGCUCUAAUAAAGUUUGCUAAUGACGGUACCGUAAGAAUAAGCACCGGCUAACUACGUGCCAGCCGCCGCGGUAA
rnacentral:rRNA from 1 species